rnacentral:sRNA from 1 species
CAGUAAGGACAAAAUUAAAUGAAAUGUGCAAAAUAACUGCACAAACUCUGUGCUGGGUGCCUGGUGACGCGGAACCGUCGGCUGGCACGCUGCGCCCCCACGUGGAAGCUUGCAAGGACUGUGUUCUGGGCAAGGACCUCCUGAGGCACCCAUGCUGCAGUUCCCAGAGGCUUAAGGACGGCUGCGGGACAUGUGGGCGUCUGGGUUGGGUCACCUCUCCAAGGAUGCCUUCUCUGACCACCCAGCGUAGUUCCCCAGGCACUACGUCACUGUCCUGCUGUAACCCCUUCCUGGCGAUCCUCUUCGCCUGAUAUUUUUGUGCUCACUGAUGGAUGAGCUCUGCUCAUGAAAAUGCAAAGUCCCUUAAGAGCAGAGUCUGUGUCUGUUCUUUUGGCUGCACUGUUACCUGCACAGAGAAGAGUGCCCAACCGAGAGUGUGCAUUCAAUACGUAUAUUUUAUUAGUUGGAAUAAAUGAAUGA